rnacentral:rRNA from 1 species
AACGAACGCUGGCGGCAUGCCUAACACAUGCAAGUCGAACGAGACCUUCGGGUCUAGUGGCGCACGGGUGCGUAACGCGUGGGAACCUGCCCUUAGGUUCGGAAUAACUCCCCGUAAGGGGUGCUAAUACCGGAUAAUGUCUUCGGACCAAAGAUUUAUCGCCUUUGGAUGGGCCCGCGUUGGAUUAGCUAGUUGGUAGGGUAAAAGCCUACCAAGGCGACGAUCCAUAGCUGGUCUGAGAGGAAGAUCAGCCACACUGGGACUGAGACACGGCCCAGACUCCUACGGGAGGCAGCAGUGGGGAAUAUUGGACAAUGGGCGAAAGCCUGAUCCAGCAAUGCCGCGUGAGUGAUGAAGGCCUUAGGGUUGUAAAGCUCUUUUACCCGGGAUGAUAAUGACAGUACCGGGAGAAUAAGCUCCGGCUAACUCCGUG